CCCUGCCUAUAUAAUGGGGAGUUCUGCACACUCCACACAACUCCCGUGACCGCAACCGUGGACUUCACCAUGAUUUUCUCACUCCUUCAAGGUUUCACAUUAUUAGCUGUUGCAGAGAUGUCUCCAUAUAUAAGGUUGAGACGUGACGUGGCUCCAGAAGUGUUCGGACUGCC
rnacentral:misc_RNA from 1 species